rnacentral:lncRNA from 1 species
UUAAUUUAUGGUGCCAACAAAAGCUUCACCUAUAAAGCUUCAACCCCAAAGCUUCACCUAUAAAGCUUCAACCCUUCAACACCAAAGCUUCACCUAUAAAGCUUCAACACCAAAGCUUCACUUAUAAAGCUUCAACACCAAAGCUUCACCUAUAAAACUUCAACACCAAAGUUUCACCUAUCAAGCUUCAACCCCAAAGCUUCACCUACAAUACAAAAUUUCAACACCAAAACAUAUAAAAG